rnacentral:lncRNA from 1 species
AUGAGCAGCAGCUAGAGCAGCUUCCGCCACCGCAGCGGUCGCAGCAGCUACGGCUAUCGCAUGUUUGUCACCGCUUUCCUCCUCAUUCACCGACGGAGAUUCCGUCGGAUACGAACGUCUCUUGCUGGAACUUGUAGACGCCGGUUUGGAAGAUCUGGUGGUGAAGCUCCACCUCCGUCUGUUAGUCGACGAAUCCUGCUUCUUACUCCCGAAAAGUCUCCCGAAAAAGCCCAUCUUUCAUCGCCGGAGGUUUUACUUAGUGAGAGUUUUGUCGGAGAUUUUCUCCGGUUAAACUACACUUCAUGUAGUUACUGAGAAGAUAACAUUUAGGUAUGGAGAAACUGAGUUUAAUAACAUAACGGCCGGUCUUAUUAUAUACCGGAUUGCGGAGAAUCUUCCACGCGCCUGAUUGUACGCUUUUGUUACACGCGUUUUCUAAAAGGCUUAUUUUUUCGCUUGACUUUAGUUAAGUAAAGAGGAUGAGUUGUUAAAGUCAAUAAUGGGCCUGACUAAACCGUACCAUAUCUUUGGUCUGUGACUUUUUGAUUCGGUUCGGACCAUUAAAUACUUAAGUCGUCAUAUUUAUACUAACGUUUAUUUUCGAAUUUGCAAAUAUGAAGAUAUUUGAAUUAAUAAUAGAGAAUAAUUGGGAGGACGUGUCAUUCUUUUUAAGCCCAUCAUUCACUGCAGUCUGCCAGCUUUAGUACUCUGUCUUUCUCUUUUCCUCCAAUGGCUGCAAAGCUUGAAGUUGUAUAUUUUAAACUUAUAAACAAAAUAAAUGUGAAUGAUCGAUUGUAACAUACGUUGUUAAUAACUUGUGACUGGGGUGGCAUAUUCAAACUCUUGGACUUCAAUUAUCUCACCUUAACUAAAAAAGGAGAGAUUAAUCAACAAACAAGCUUAGCUUUGUGUUUUAUUCGUCUAUUUCAUUUGUUAAGUCAUCAUCCUUGGUCACUAGGAUGCAGUUUAGAAGCAAGUCUAUAAAAAAGGAAAAUAGCAGGGAGUAUUCCAAGUUAAUUCAGUACUAGCUCUGAUAACGAUCGUCUAUAAAGGUGUAAUAAAUACAAUCUUUGAGGUCGUAUUCAGCAAUCAGCACUAGGUCAGGUGCAGUUUAUAGACUUUCUAGCAUUUAAAACACACACAUAAUUAUCUCCAUGCUACUAUUACACUAGGCAAUGCUUUAAAAACAGUAUAUUGUGCUGAAUCUAGGGAUUUAGUUGUAGCUUGCCUUGAAUAUCUUUCUUUUCUUCUUUUCUUCUCAAUUGUUGUGUCUAGAUGUUUGCAUCUCCCAGCUAGGCCCAAAAAAAUAAAAUUUUUUCUAACAAGCAAAACGGUACAGUAUUGAUUGAUAGGGAUGAGCUCUUCAAGAGCAGCCUUAUUUUCCAGAAUUAGACUACACUAUUCCGAAAAAUCUCUUCACAAAAUCAGAAGCUUAACCUAAAGCACAACCACAGCAAAAUGGAUAAGUUAACAUUGAUGAACGUCUUUAUGAGAUUCCAAUACCAAAGACAGCUCUAGUCUUUAAUAGUCAGUCUGUACAAAAAGACAAACAUAAGGUACGAGUAACUAUCAAAUUACCUCAUGCCUUCCAAGGAAACCCCAUGCUUUCAUCCACCUCAGUGCUAAAAAAACCGUUGUUCAUAUCAGGUGCAAGUCCUCGAGAAGCAUUUGCAAGUUGUUCCAUCUCCGGAAUCUGCAAUUUCCCUGUCCUCAUUUGAUAUGGAUAACUCUUCAAAGCCUCUGUAAAAAACGGCAGCAAGCUUUUUAUAAGCACAAAUAAAAAGAAACACAGAUGCAUUUUGAUGAAGUGCAGGGAUACUUCGAUAUAUGAAAUUUACCAAUUGGACCAACUUUUUGGUCACGGCAGAAGUCAAACAUAUCUUUCAUGCUGCUGACAACUUCAGAGAUCUGUUUAAAGAAAACAUGUCAAGAGAAACCACGAGGAUGAUGCAUACCAUCAAGAAAGUAAACAGACAAGAUACCUGCAAACACCUGUUUGUACAGGAUUCGGUUGAUUAGAAUGAUGAACUUAGGAAAUGGGGUGACUAAAGACGUUUUUAUUAGAAUCAACACAAUGGGUUACAAGACUGAUCAAAGGUAAGGAGACAAGAUCAAAGGUUUAAACGACAAGAUCAAAGAGAUGAUUAGGAAACCCUAAAUCUAGCCGCUUAGUGUGUGAUGUGUCCAAAAAGUCCUCCUUUCGUUGCCUCCUCCUUCUCUCUUAUAGUGCCCUUGUGCGUGAUGCCCUAAUCGCGCCUGUCCUUUGGGCCUUGUCGCCCAAAGGCCGAGUAUGUGGGCCUUGGUACUGUUUCGUCCAAGUCGAGUAUAGCUGAUCGGCUUAGCUGACCGGCUUAAAGUACUCUAGGGUCGAGCCGACGGCUCUAGCCGCUAAGCCGACUAAGCUCGAUCGACCUUGUCGGGCUAGGGCCUGUUAUUUGAUGGGCCUUGUGGAGGGAUGUAAUCCAUCUCCUACAAUAAGUCCCCCCCCCAGUUCACUUGUGAGCGGCUUGUCGGUCUCAGUGAAUUUGUGGGUCAGGUUCGUUCAUAUAACAGGAUCUAAUGCCGGCGACAGCUCGUUUUACCGGUGUAUGGUUUUAGUCGCGUGCCGUGUCUAGUCGCUCCGCGUUACGUCUUCUCACGAUGCGUUGUGUUUUACUCGGGAGGUAAACUUCUCGAAUUAGGAGCCCAGGUGGUCUUUGGAUGGUUAACUCUGUUGAGUUGGUUCGGGCUAGAACCGGAGAUUAAUUUCGGUCCGGUUUCUUGAUUGAAAACCGGUUUGGGCGAGAAACCGAACCGUCGCGAGUAGGCUUUUGGGCAUUUAGGCGGCCUUUGAAGCCCAUUUAGGCCUUUGUAGACUUAAUGAUGAUGCUUCGAAGAAUGCGCCUCGUUUUUGCUAUAAAUAGGCGUCUCUCCUUUGCUUUCGUCAUUCUUCUCUGCAGACUCAGGUAUUCCACUUUCUCUCCCUUCUCUCUACUUUUACUUUCUCUCUCUAGAUAAGCCUUCUGUAGCAUAGGGUUUUCUGCUAGCGAUCUAGCUAGUUUAGUCGUCCCCCCGAGUAGAAAGGAUAUGGCUUCAGGGAAUCGGUUAUCGCGCGAGGAGAAAGGGAAAGAUAUAGCUACCUCUCCGAGCCCGGCUAGGGAUGCGGACGGGGGUCCGUUGGAGGAUUUCGACAUAAUCCAUCGUGAUGCUUUGCGGGAUACGGAGAACAUGAGCCUUUCCCAGCGUCUUCUGGUCGCUGACGCCCAUAGGCAGUUUCGCGAAGAAAACGAAGGAAACAUUGAGGACGAGGAUAGAGAGGCGAGUGGUUCUGAAGCGCCUAGUUCUGAAGCGCCUAGCCUUGUUGUGAGACCCAGGAGACGGGCUCAUCGGAGGGGUCGUAUCGACCAGUCAGACCGCCUUCCCGCUCCGAGAAGCGUUCCGUUCGACGAAGUAGACUGCCGUCCUGUGAUAUAUCACCCUGGUGGAAUUUUCGAAGAACUACCUUCGCUGCCUCCCGAAGCGUUACGCGACCCGCGAGUUCAAUCGUGGGGAAACGUUUUCAGUUCCUGUUCUUCCAACGAGACCGUGAAGAGAUUGCUAAGGGAGAAUGGUGGCGCAGGAGUCACCUUCCUCAUUCCGUCAACCGAACAGCGGCCGUGGUCGCCACCGGUUGGUUACCAGUGCGUGUACGAAUCUUACUUCAAGGAUCAGACGAAGCUCUGGUUCCCAAUCCCCAGACUGAUCACGUCUUACGCGUUUCGUCGGGAUAUCGCGAUUUCUCAGCUGCUGAACGGGUCGCUGCGCAUAGCUGUCAUGUUGAUGGUUAUGGCAGCGGAGAUGGAUGUUUCGAUGAGCGUGAGGGUGUUCGAGGAGCUGACUUUCACGAAGGCGGAGCCUAACGGGAUCUUUUCAAUAAAGAUGCGAGCGAGUUACAACGUCUUGACCGGUCAUCCCAACAAGACGCAGGAUUGGCAACGCGCAUACUUCUUUAUUAAGUCCGACGAGCAUGCCUUCGAGGAGCCGCCGGGGGACGAUUAUCGCGUUUUAUGGAAUCAGCAACUUGGUAGAGAUUUGUCUGUUUACUCGUAUUCUGGUCGAUGGUUCUGAUGUUCCCUUUUUCUUUUGCAGUUCGUCAUCCCAAUACAAUUGCCUAUCCUGAGAAAUUCUUUGAAACUGCUCAACUGAUCGCGACGCAUAGUCAUCUCAGGUGGCCGGAUCUUAGUCGGGAGUGGAUACGUCGGCAGCAAGCUAGGAUCGCUAGAGGUAAAAUUGCUGUUCACCUUAGAGAGAUGUUCUUGAACCUUUUUCGUAGUCUUCGUGUCUGAUUUCUCUUUCUUAUACAGUUGAUUGGGAAUCGAGACUUCCUUGUGUACUCGGUCCCCGCAAGUCACGUCUCUCCCUGUUUACUCGGAAACAACAAAAACUCCUUAACCAAGCUAGAAAGAUGGAGGGAGUUCCCGACUUGAGUGCCCUGUUGAAAGGGAAGCUUCAAAUGCUCUCAACAAAGUCGUCUUCUGCCGGUGCCUCAGAAGUCAGGCCUGUCCCCGUAGAUGGAGAUGUGAACUCUGAGCCACCAGCUCAGAGUUCCCCAAAGAAGAAGGCCAAUAAGGCCAAGAAAAGGAGUGUCCCUUCGGAGGAGGCACCAUCUUCUGCUGAUGUCUCUGAAGUCGCGGCUAAGAAGAAGAAGAAAAAGGAGAGCAAGAAAAGGUCUCGUGAGGAGGCUUCUGUUGAGGUUUUGGAGACCUCAGCUGCUGCGGGGAAUGAUGAUGCGGAAAGAAACGAUCCAACCAAUUCUACUCGGGGAUCGCCUGAGGAACGUCCCAAGAAGAAGUUGAAGAAAAAGACAGCGGAGGACGAUGGGACUUCUGCUCCCGGGAUUCCUUCUGGAAGUGGGGAACCGGCAACCGAAGCCGGAGAUGGCUCACGGGAUGAAUCUCCGUUGAGUAAGGGAGCCCCUUCUUCUUCUGCGAGGGAGACGGGUGCGGGAAGCGGAGGUUCGCUUCCGCGGAAGGCGGGAGGAGGAAUUCGCUUUCCAGAUCACGUAGAGUUCCUUUACGACGAGGCGACUCCGUUGGUUCUGAAUCCACUUCAAUGUGCUGAACUGACCCGUCAGAUCCGUGGUGGGACCAAAGAGUUGCCGCCGAUCGACGACUUAUACUUCAAAAAGGAGUACAUUGACGCGGCUAUGGCGGGCAGACGGGUAAACUCGCUUUUCCCUUAUUCCCCUUUUCUUCCUUAAAAAUUUCCUAAGUCUUUAUUGCUUCAUGCAGAGCGACGGGAGCAUGAAUUAUCUUGUUGAGAAGUACGACAGCACCUUGAAGCAGACGAUGGUCCAGCUGGGCGCCUCGGAGAAGCUUGCACGGACCAGGUUGGGCGUGAUCGAGAGGUUACGUGCUGAAAACAAAAAGGCCUGCGACAAAGCGGCCAAAGAGAAAGAGGUCCUCCGAGUCAAAUUCGAGGAGUUGGAAGACAAAUUGAAGUCUGACCGUCUUGCGAAGAAGGACGCUCUACGCGAGAAAACUCGCUUAGAGCAGUUGGUCGCUUCCCUCGAGAAGGAGAAGGCUGAGCUCGAGGGAGAGAGGGACGCUGUCGUCGGGACGCUGGUCAAAGAGAGGCAACGCUUGAGGGACUCUAGGGUUCAGGAGGUCACCCGCGAAAGGAUCAAGGUUCAAACGGCUAUGGCGGACAAGUCUACUCGCUGCGUAGGUAAGAUGAAGGGCUAUCUGGAUCGCCUUAACGCGCUAGAGAAGGCCAAAAAUCUAUACGGGCAGGCUUCAGGAACAAAAAAGUGCCUUGAGAUGAUAAAAGAUAGCGGGGUCGAGAUUCCGCAGAGUAUGAUCAACAUCUUCUCGCAGCAGGAGAAGAUGUAUGAGGCUGAAGUUGCCAAUCUCUACCUCGAGCCAUUCUCUGAGGAUGACUUUGCUCUCUCUCCUCUCAACCUCCCUUCUCGAUUUGUAAGUGAAGAGCUCAUGGGGGUACUCGACCCGUACGGAUCGAAUGUUGGCUUGAUUGGCCAGGAAUCGGCUUCCCAGUUGAUUACUUCCCACGAGGCGACCGAAGAUCCAGUCGACGAGCCGGUGGUAGACAUUACUUCCGCUCUGUCGGAGCAUAUUGUCGUUCCCGAAGGAACUGUCGUCGAGGAACGUCCUGACGGAAACGAUCCCGAGGAAGCCGGGGACGCGAUUCAAGCAGACACGGGAGAUGUAGCCACCGAAGAUCCGGUCCUGGUUUCUUCGUCUGAGGAGCGAGAAGAGGACGAGGUGGGCGAGGAGGAGAACAGGUCGCCACCGGCACUUAUCGAAGAGACGGUUCCGAUCCCAUCAGUUUCAGGCCCUCCUGCUCAAGUUGAAGACCUUGGCGCUCGAGCUGUUGAAGAGGAAACGAUUGAACCGCUUGACCCGAGCAGGGACGACCAAGACGUUGUCGUUUGAUCUUGUUGUAAUAUUAGAAUGUUUUCAUCGGUGGUUUUGAUAGACCUUGUUGUUGUAUUUUAAGACUCUUUUUGUGUUUCUCAUCAUUUAUUUGCAACUCUUUUAAGCGAUUUCGGUUAUCUGUUGUGUUUGGAAAACAUCAGAUUUUUGUCCUUAAUCUUUUGCAAAUAGACAAGUGAUGAACCGGUAAUUGGUUUUACUCGGUUGUCAUCAUGUUUCGAUAACAAAGAGUUGAGUAUAAGAGUUGAAGGUUCUUCUAUCCGUUUCCUCAGUGACAAUUAAGUAACCGGGUAGCUAAGCCGUUACAUUUUAGUCGAGAAAAGGCAAAGAUUCACUCUGUUUAGUCGGUUCAAUGCUUAGGCAUAGGUGAAUCGCGACUAUUAAGGUCCUGGAGCCAAGUGUCUGAUCAGGACAUAGCUGUAAGCAAAGGAGCGUGAGUGUCCGCGUGUCCUCUGCUGGAGGCACGGGAGCCAUUCGAUGUGAAAGUCAUUAUUUAUUCGAUUGAGACCUAGGUAAGGUUUUGACUUUGGUUUUGUUACAGCUGGACCUGUUAAGGCUGCCUACGUACCUCGGUUGAGGAUCAAGCCAUUCGUAGUUCGUUUUUCCCGAGUAAAAGUGGCUGUGAGUGGCGCAUUUACUCGGUCGAGUAGAAGUGACCACGGGGGUGCAUCUACUCUGUUUUUUUUGUUACAGCUGGACCUGUUAAGGCUGCCUACGUACCUCGGUUGAGGAUCAAGCCAUUCGUAGUUCGUUUUUUUCCCGAGUAAAAGUGGCUGUGAGUGGCGCAUUUACUCGGUCGAGUAGAAGUGACCACGGGGGUGCAUCUACUCGUUUUUUUUUUUUUUUUUUUUUGUGUGGAAAUACUUUUACGAGUAGAAACGUCGUAGGUGCAUUGAGUUCCAUGAUCGUGGGACUUCUUCGCCGCGCGACGUUUGGAGUCUGUAUACGCCAGGCUUGACGACUUUAAUGAUUUUGUAAGGUCCUUCCCAUCUGGCGCCGAGUUUGCCGGCGUUUAGCUCCUUAGUGUUUUCGAACACUUUGCGCAUGACGAGGUCGCCGAGUUCCAGGGGUCGUGCGCGGACCUUUUUGUUAUAGUAACUUUCUAUCUGAUGUUGGUAAUUCUGGAUGCGCAGCAGGGCCUGAUCUCUUCGUUCUUCUAUCUCAUCGAGGGCAUCAAGUAGCAUUUCCUUGUUGAGCUCGACGUAUUGAGGCAUCUUGGAACGUCGGAGGCUUGAAACGUUAACUUCAGCGGGAGCCAUUGCUUCGACACCGUAGGCGAGGGAGAAAGGUGUCGAUUUAGUCGACCCUCGCGGGGUUGUGCGGUGGCUCCAUAGGACUCCGUCGAGUUCGUCAGCCCAGUGACCCUUUUUCAGGUCCAGACGCUUUUUAAUACCAUCGAUGAUGAGUUUGUUGGAGGACUCAGCCUGACCGUUACCUUGCGGGUAACGAGGAGUGGAGGGGCUUAGUUGAAUGUUCCACUUGCCACAGAACUCCUUGAAAUUACCUGACAUGAACUGAGAUCCGUUGUCGGUAACAAUUUCAUAAGGUAGACCAUGGCGACAAAUGAUGUUUUUCCAGACGAAACCGCGGACUUCUUUGUCUGUGACUUGGGCGUAUGCUUCAGCUUCAAUCCAUUUAGUGAAGUAGUCGGUCAGGACCAGGAUGAAGCGUCUUUGGCGGGAACAAGGAAGCGGUCCUAUGAUAUCCAUCGCCCAUCGCAUGAACGGGUAAGGGGCGGUGGUUGUGCGCAACAUCUCGGUUGGACAAUGGAUGCUAGGUGCAUGUCGUUGGCACUUGUCGCAGCUUCUCGCGUAUGACUCGCAAUCAGCGUUCAUUGUCGGCCAAAAAAAACCUAAGCUCCUUACUUUGAUUGCUAACGCACGUCCGCCCGAAUGAUUUCCGCCAGCGCCUUCAUGUGUCUCAGCCAUAACCCUUGCUGUCUCGUCGCCAUGGAUGCAUUUGAGGAGCACUUUACUCGCCGUCCAUCGGUGCAGUUCAUCGUCAAGAACGACGUAAUGGGCGCUGCGGGUUUUUAGGCGGCGAGCUGCCCAUUUUUCUGCUGGGAGUUCCCCCUUAGAGAGGUAGUCGAUGAACUCGGUUCUCCAAUCUGGGCCAAAUCCGUCGUCGUCUGGAGCAACAGGCUCGACGACCUGGGCGACGAGGGUUUGGUCGGGCAGCAUAUCGAUGCUUGGUUUCUUGAUACGAUGUAUCGGGAUUGUUCUUUUCACUUGAUCAUGAAGCUUGCUGCCAAGGGCAGCGAGGGCGUCGGCGCAGACGUUCUCGCCUCUCGGAACUUUGAUGAGUUCGAAGAAUUCGAACUCUGCUGCCAAGCUUUGCACUAUUUUGAGAUAGGCGUCCAUCCGAUCGUUGCGGGCGUCGUAGUCGCCACUGAACUGACUGGCGACUAACUGAGAGUCGCAAUAAGCGCUUAGUCGUUUAGCUUUGACGGCUUUUGCUAAGCGGAGUCCUGCGAUCAGAGAUUCGUAUUCUGCCUCGUUGUUUGACGCGGGAAAGCCAAAGCUGAAAGACUGUCUGAUUAGUUCGCCGGUCGGGGACUGUAAUUGGACUCUGGCACCUGCUCCUUUGUUGGUCGACGAUCCGUCGACGUGCAAUGUCCAGUUUGAGCUUGGGAAUGUGAGAUCUUGCUCUAACUCUGGGGCCAGUUCGACCAAGAAAUCGGCAAGGACCUGGGAUUUCGCUGCCGUGCGGUUCUUGUAGAUGAUAUCGAGCUCGCCGAGUUCGAUGGCCCACUUUGUAAGUCUGCCGGAUCUGUUAGUGUUCUGGAGUAUCGUUCGGAGAGGCUGAUCAGUCAAUACUUCCACGGAGUGCGACUGGAAAUACGGUCGUAGUUUUCUCGCUGCUUCAACAACUGCUAAAGCCAUCUUUUCUAGAGUUGGAUACCGCGUCUCUGGUCCUGUCAUGCGGCGGCUCGUAUAGAAGAUGGGCUUUUGCUCGCCGCGGUCUUCUUUUAUCAGAACGCUGCUGACUGCAGCCUGUGAUACUGCGACAUAGAGAGAUAGAACAUCGCCGACGUCAGGCUUAGCGAGUACCGGAGGUGUAGUCAGGUACUGUUUGAGUUGAGUGAAUGCUUCCUCGCACUUUUCGUCCCAAAUGAACUUUUUAUUUCCUCGCAAGAGAUCAUAGAAUGGCAGGCACUUGUCGGUGGAUCUGGAGAUGAAUCGAUUUAGAGCGGCUAUCCGGCCUGUGAGCCGCUGCACUUCUCUGCUGUUCUUCGGACUCGGGAGGUUUAGGACCGCAGAGAUUUGCUUUGGAUUCGCCUCGAUUCCUCGCUGUGUGACAAUGUAACCGAGGAACUCGCCAGAAGAAACCCGAAAGUGCACUUUGCUGGGUUUAGCUUCAUGCCGUACUUGUUGAGAGUUUCGAAGCAUUCUUGUAGAUGGCGGAGGUGAUCGGAUGGCAUGGAGCGACUUAACCAGCAUGUCGUCGAUGUACACUUCCAUGGUGGUGCCCAACUUAUCUGCGAACAGCUUGUUCACAAGCCUUUGGUAGGUUGCUCCGGGUUCUUCAGACCGAAUGACAUGACCUUGUAGCAAUAGGUUCCCCUAUCUGUGAUGAAGGCCGUCCUUCUCGCGAUCAUCCGGGUGCAUCAUUAUCUGGUUGUAUCCGGAAAAGGCGUCCAUGAAGGUUAGCAUCUCGUUUCCAGCCGUGGACUCGACUAAACGGUCGAUGUUGGGAAGGGGGUAGCUAUCCUUUGGGCAAGCUUUAUUGAGGUCGGUGAAGUCGACGCAGACGCGCCACCUGCCAUUUUUCUUUUUGACGACUACCGGGUUUGCCAACCACUCAGGGUAGCGAACCUCAGCAAUCGAACCCGCGCCGAGUAGCCUGUCAACUUCUUCGUUUACGGCCUUAGACCUAUCAGGGCCGAGCUUGCGUCUCUUCUGCCGGAUAGGCUUGAACGUUGGGUCGACGUUUAGUUCGUGAGUUGUUAUAGUAGGGUCGAUGCCUUUCAUGUCUGCCAUCGACCAGGCGAACGUGGACACGUUCUUUCUGAGGAAAUCCAGGACUGACUGCUGCAUUUCGUCGGAGAGGUAUGCGCCAACUCUCACGGUGCGACUCUUGUCGGCGUCAUCAAUAGGUAACUCGAGAACCUCGUUUUCCUGAGAGUUGGCUUUUGAGGUUGGAGGGGACACUGAGUUAACGGGUAGUGACGUUCGUUGGAGUUUGACUGUGGCGACUAGGAGAUCCCUAGCGGCCUUUUGGUCCCCGCGCAAUGUUUUUAUCUUCCCAUCCGCGCCGGGGAACUUGACGCACUGAUGGUAGGUGGAAGGGACAGCCUGCAUCGAGUGUAACCAAGGGGUACCGAGUAUAGCGUGAUACGGAGCUUUUGUGCUAACGACGGCAAAUUUGACCGUUCGAGUAACGCCGCAUGCGCGCACCGGGAGGCGGAUCGUUCCCAAGAUAGUUUCGGAUGACCCAUUGAAUCCUGUUAGCGUUCUGGAGGACGCUUUUAUGUCGUCGAGGUCGACUCCCAUCUUCUGCAGAGUUCCUCGGAAGAUGAGGUCAACGGAACUUCCGGUGUCAAUAAGGAUCUUGGUGACAUCGUACUCUCCAAUUCCAAGGACGACGAGGAGGGGAUCAUUAUGGGGCGUGUGAACACCUUCAGCGUCAUCUGGUGAGAAGGUUAUUGGAGGAUGACUUGUCGGUUUAGUCGGCCACUUCUGGGACGUCGCGACUUGUCGACGAUAAUCUUUCACGGAACGGACUGAGUCGCCACUAGGGGAGCCUCCCAUGAUGACGUUCAAAGACUGUUCCGUUUGUACUUGCUUGGAGUUCAGUAAGGCGCGGAGGUCUUUGGGUACGCUGGUAUCAGGAGGUGGAAGUUGAGGCUGACCUUUAGCUCGCUCCAACUGUCGUCGUAAGUCUGUUGGUUUUGAACGGUUGAGCUUUACGCGGAGAUCGCCUGCUCUGGCAUUGAGUUUAUCUCGGAGGUCGCUAAUUGGACCUUCGUUGUUGUUGCCAUUGCUUGUCGAGAUGCGCCGAGACUUCCGUGCAUCCAGCAUCGUCCGGAGAUCUCUGCGAGUGGAUCGCCUCCAUUUUCCGGUUCGAGCUUCCGUUUAAGGCUGUCUCUCAGGUCUCCGAGUACAGGCGAAUCGUCGUUAUCUUCGUCGGACGACAAGGAUUGCUGAGAGAGUAUAACCUCAAUGCGUCUGCGAUUAGCCGGAUGCUCUUCGUCGGCUGAGGAGUCUCCCCCGCCGUUAUCCCUUGGGGUUUCAUCCUCGUCGUCUCGUUGCGGAGCGUCGUUUUGUCGGCCUUUGCCAGUGGCUUUGCGCUGGGCCCUUCUUUCUUUAUUCUUGCUCCAGCUCUUGCCGUUCUUUGGUUUGGCUUUCAAUGGCUCAAACUUAAACUCGCCGCUUGCAAGGGACGAGAGGUAAUGUGCGUAGAGAGAUUUGCAUUCUGAGGUAUCGUGUCCUUUGACGUCGUGAUACUUGCAAUGUUUGGUGAGGUCGACAGUCCGGGAAGGACCUGCUGCUGAUCUGGCUCCCGCUGCGGGUUGGGUGGUGCAAACAGAAUCGACUUUUUGGUCGGACGACUCGAGUUCUCUUACCCACUUGUUCCACCCCUCCCCGCGAACUACGAGAGUGGAGAUUGGUGUGUUAUUCUCGUUAACGACAUACAUGUAACCGUCUUUGCGACCGUUUUUGUCGUUUGGAGCGUGUUGGCGCGGUUCUUGUCGCGCAUUUGCGUUCUUAGCCGCUGGAGCCUUGGGCGCGCUCAUUUUGCUGAGGAUUGCGUUGGUGUCCUCCUCCAUUCGGAUGAAGUUAUCGGAGCGUGCGAUAGCGUCUUGGAGCGACUUGGUUGGGUUCUGGUACAGGUCUUCUCGGAACUUGGAGUGGACCCACAAGGUGUUGCGCAAGGCGUCGAUAGCAAUUCCGUCUGGGAUCUCAAUCUUCGACACUACGGCUUUGAAUUUCUCCAUGUACUCGCGCAAGCUCUGGUCCUUUUUCUGAUUGAGGUUCCAUAGGCUGGAUGCGGUGGCGCUGCGCUUUGUGAACAUGAUGUAUGUCUUGAGAAAAGCUGCUGAUAAGUCGCAGAAGCAUCCGAUUGAGUUCUCUUCCAACUGGGAGAACCAUGUCAGGGCUUGCUCGUGGAGAGUCUCGACGAACAGCUGGCAGUAACCUGCGUCCCUUUCGUCGUCGGGGAGUCGAGCUCGCGCCAUGGCGAUGUUAAAAGCGAUCAUAUGCUCCACCGGGUCUCCGCCGGGCUUAUACUCGGGUAAGCGCAGCUUUUCUAUCUUUCCGAGUUGGACGCUAGUUAGCGCGCGAGUAAAAGGAGUACGCGAGGUUGCGGCGAGUACACUCUCUAUUUGCGGAGCUGCGCUGGUUACUUGGUGGAUCUUCUCUCCCAUUUGUUGAAGGCUGAGUUUGAGCUCGGCGAGCUCGCGUAUUGUCGUGAGAUCUGAGCCUGCUGGGAGAGCGUCUGCGAGAAGGGCUUCGUUAGGCUCCGAGUCGUCAGAGAUAUGGUCGACUCCGGUUGCCGUAGGGUUUGUGUUGAAGAGGCGGCGGCGUAUCUGCUGGGGACGGCUCGUUUGUCCCUCAGGAGCUGUGAGCGCCGCGACCAACGCAGCGAGUUGGUCGUUGGUUGUCUUUUGGACUUCGUCUUGGCGAGCGAGUCGAGCCAUGACGGAGUUCAUGAAAUCUGAGGUGAUGGGCGGCGCGGCCGCAGGCGUAGGCGUCGGUUCCUCGCCUGGGGCGCCGAAGGCGGCGUCGUCUUGAGCCAUGUAGAUCUAGAACGUUGCUUUAGUCUGCCCCACGGUGGGCGCCAAUUGUUUGUACAGGAUUCGGUUGAUUAGAAUGAUGAACUUAGGAAAUGGGGUGACUAAAGACGUUUUUAUUAGAAUCAACACAAUGGGUUACAAGACUGAUCAAAGGUAAGGAGACAAGAUCAAAGGUUUAAACGACAAGAUCAAAGAGAUGAUUAGGAAACCCUAAAUCUAGCCGCUUAGUGUGUGAUGUGUCCAAAAAGUCCUCCUUUCGUUGCCUCCUCCUUCUCUCUUAUAGUGCCCUUGUGCGUGAUGCCCUAAUCGCGCCUGUCCUUUGGGCCUUGUCGCCCAAAGGCCGAGUAUGUGGGCCUUGGUACUGUUUCGUCCAAGUCGAGUAUAGCUGAUCGGCUUAGCUGACCGGCUUAAAGUACUCUAGGGUCGAGCCGACAGCUCUAGCCGCUAAGCCGACUAAGCUCGAUCGACUUUGUCGGGCUAGGGCCUGUUAUUUGAUGGGCCUUGUGGAGGGAUGUAAUCCAUCUCCUACAACACCGAACAUAUCGUUUGGAAAAGCCCAUGUCAUUGAGCGAAUGUGACUCCAAGCUUUUCGCUAGUUGGCGUCCAGCAGCCAUGACCCUGGAGCAAAAGGACUUGUUAUCAAUAAACAUAUUAUAUUUGUCUCUAUUAAGCUAAAAUCAAUUUUUUUUUUAAAAUUAUAAUUUGUAUAAGCAAAGAAACUUACUUAAUCACCGUAGAAAAUGCAACAAAUAAUGAAAAUGGAUAUGAUUGAAAGAAACAAAGAAAGGUAGAAGUUGUCUAGGCUCACAUGUUGCUAUUUGCCUGCAAAUCAUGCUGAAGAAUCCCAUCUGGUCCACUUUGAACGAUUGUGCUCUGGCACUUCUCAGAAACCUGAAGCAAUUGGUUCACCUGAACAAACCAUGGAGACAAGAUAUUAAUUACAAAAUCUCUGAGAAAGGUAUUCCACAUAGAGUUUGAAAGAUUGCAAAAAGAAUAUUACAUGUGGGGCUACAAGGCGGCGAGGAAGUAGUUCUUCAUGUCGACGAGUACAGAACUGUCAUGAGAGAAUCUUGUGAAAAGCAUACGGAUAAGCUAAACUACUUUAUUACAUAUAACAAAUAAAGUUGUUUGGAAGUAAAAGCUCUUUGGAAACUUUAGCUCUUGGGAGAAUAUAAUCCGAAGGUGGCCUUCACCACUCAAAUAAAGAAGCUCGUCACUUGCAUAUUUGAUUUCGGCAACACAUCAAAAGUUGCUUCUGCACAAAUCACAAGAUAAACUUGAUUACAUACUAUGAUAAACUUGCAAGUUCAAAAAUACAUCUAUACACUGAUUUAGUCACGUUUUAGAGUGUAGACACGCACAGACAACUAAAAAGAAACAGGUGGGGGAGACAAACCGUGGCUGCCUGAGGAGAAACGCCAAGUGCGGUAUGCCCCCACAUUAUCUUAAUGAGAGAGACACCACCUUUUCUUUGCACGAGAGGAAAAAUACUCCGUCACGAAUUUCUUUCAAUAAGCAAUACAAAAUCAGUAUAUGUCAAGAGCUUUUUUCUAGUAUACACAUAGAUUUAAAAAAAAAAGCCUGAGGACAACAUGCAUACUCACAGAAGGUCUUUCCCGCUGAUGAUACAAGUACUGCAUUAACCUUAGAGCGCAGAUGCUAUUUGUCAUAAGGUCCUGGCCCAUUAGAGGGAGUUAGAGGAAGUCCCGUAAGAGGAAGUGAAGUGAGAGUUGAUGAAACUUUGAGAUUCAUCAUCUCCUUGGAAGAAGAUCCCAGAGGUGGAAGAAGAUGGGGUUAAUCCACCAGCCAUCAUAAGUAGGUCCCACCUUUAGGAUCUACAACAACAGAAACAAUGUGAUCAGGUCAACAACAUUGUCUUCUUCUAUCCUACAUUAAACUCAAAACUCAAAACAUAAAAACAGCUUAAAGAAACAAGACUUUAUCGCAUUACGGUGAGAACAAAAACUCCAACUGAAAUCAAAACCCUAACUUUAAAGAAACCAUCCUCAAACAACAUAUAAAGCAGAAACUAAUAAGCAAUAGAAAAGUCACAGAAAUUAACUGACGAAUUUAGAAAAAGAAAAGAAAUUGGGAAGAAGGACGAACAAACGUACCAAGAAGAACUGUGAAGUGGAGCUUCCAUCACCAUUCAACAAACUAUACAUCACAGACUAACUUGGAGCAUCUACUAUAGAAUCACAAUCAAUGAAUCACAAUCAAGCUUAAUAAGAAUAACUCUCUUAUUAAUCUCUUGAGGAAAAUAACUCAAAACCUCAAGCUCUCUCAAUCUCACACAAUUCAUAAUCUCUCAUCCAAUCUCUCAACUCAUGAGUUAUGCAACACUCUUGCAUCUCCUUAUAUAUAAAACAAAUUUCCUAAACUCAUUAGGUAUAACAUAUUUCCUAAUCCUUUAAACCAUAACUUGGUAGGAUUAGAAGUUAACUUAUUUAUCAAGUUUCCUUUUUUCUUCAAGCUUAAUCCAACAUUCUCCCCCUUAAGCUUGAACUCCAUUUUCAAUAAAUCUUCAACAAUACCUCUUGAGCUCUCAAACGGUUUAUUGGUUUGUUCCACCUCGUGAAGCAUCUUCUCGUACUUCUCGUUUGUUGACUUAAUGACCAGCUUCUUAUCUUCUUCACGUGUUUUGUAAUUCUGACCACCUAGACUCAACAACCUGUUUUUCAACACACGCUCACUUGACGCUUGGUGAAAAACUGAAGCUAAACUCUGCAUAUCUGGCUCACUCUUCUCCUCUUCCUCUUUCGACCUCUCCAGCUCUGACAAGGUCUUACUCUUCUCAUCCUUGAAAAUUUCAAGCUUAGUUUUUAAUUUUAUAUCCUCUUUCUCAACCUUAGAUAACAACUCUUCCGCAGGUUCGAGUAGAUGUUCAGAUUUCUUGAGAACUUGACUUUGCUUAAGCCCCACCGUCGCCAUUAGCUUGGCCUUAUCCUUGAGAGCAAUCACCUCACACUCCAUAACCUGCAGUCGUGUAUUGCUUCCUUCCAGCUGUUUUAUCAAAGACACCAGAGAGACUGAGGCAUAUUUCUUCAUCAUGUUGGUUUCUUCCAACUGUUCCUCCAAUUCUAUGGCUUUGGUACACCACUGGUCAGCAAAGCCGUACGCAUGGGACUUUGCCAUUUUAAAAACUUCUUUCGCAGCAUCAAUCUUCUCAAUGAUCUCAUCUCGUUCUUUAACCUCUGCUUCAAAGCUUCUCGCUUUCUCAAGCUCACUUUUCAAAACAUCUAUCUCUUUGUUGGAGAUGGUUUCUUUCUCUGCAUGGAUGGAAAUCAUCUUGCUAAUAUUUUCUUCUUGACUCAGAGGCAGGUUCUUGGCGUCGUUAGCUGCGGCCAGUUUUAAGCUAACUUUCUCUAGCUCUCGGGUUACCAACAGUAGAACAGCUGAGUCUGAAGCAUGUUGAUUCUUGACAAUCUCGAGUUCUUUCUUAAGUUCUUCUUCUUUUCUAUGAAAGGCCUCUACCCUUGCCUCAACGGUUUUGAAUUUGCAAUCCAAAAACCUGUUUGCUGGCCUUCCUGAUGGAACAAAAACAUUCUUUGCAGAUCCAAAACAACACACGAGAGGAGGCCACCCGUACGUGUGACUGAUAUCUUCGCUUUCAUGUUUGCUCAGAUCAAUCUCUUCUCCUUCAUUGUCGGCAUCAGUGGCUUUAACAGCCAAGGCUUUCUCGGCAUCACUAACCUCAUCAUAUGUACUACUAGUAGUGACUAAACCAUCCUCCACGUCUUUAUCUUUCUUAACAGUCCUCUGUCUCACAUUCUUCUCUGUUUUUCCUUCCUCCACAUCAGAAGAACCUGCUGCUGGUGAAGCUUUCUUUCUAGUUCUCAGUGGCUCUUUUGUGUCACUUUCUUUGUCUGAAGCAUCAUCACUAUCUACCAAAAACUGAGAGCUUUCUUCUAUAGGUUCAUCCUUUGCUAUAACUUUUGGUAGAGAGGUAAGCCCACCACCAUUCGGCAGCAACUGGUUUGUAGUCACAGGAGGAUUCAUUGCAGCAGCAUUAGCUUUAACAGCAGCAGCAAUGGUGGCUAUAUGAGCAAGAGCAGCCUGGUGCGCUGAGGUAUCAACACCAACAACACAUGCCUUUCUUAUAACAUCAAUCUCAUCUUCUGAGUCAGACUUAUAUUCCUCAAACCCAUACUCUUUCGCUUGUGCUUUCUUUGCUGCUUUCGUAACUUUUUCCUCCUCUUCGGUGAAUUUUAAGCCACUAUCUACAUAGCCAGUUUCAUGAGCUUGUUCAGUACCCUGUCUAACCUUUGCAAUGAAACUGUCAGCGAUUUCUUUCAGAUCAUCGGGGAUUGGCUGCAGCGAAAGUUCCAGGGCCUUGACUAAAUACGGUGCAUAUUUUGCAUCAUCUUCAGAGAUAAAUGUCACAGCACAGCCUUUCUGCUCUGCCCUUCCUGUCCUGCCAAUGCGAUGCACAUAAUAUUCAUAGUGGUUCGGAGCAUCAUAGUUUACAACUAACUCAAGCUCUUUCACAUCUAUACCCCUAGCUGCAACACUUGUGGCAAUCAAUAUAUUGCACACAUUGCUCUUAAAGUCAGAUAUUGUUGAUUCCUGAUCAGACUGCUCGUUACCACCGUGAAGAGAUAUACAAUGAUAAAUCUUUUUAAACAAAUCCUUCAACAAGGCAUCACAUUUUUUCUGCGACUGCACAAAAACCAAAAUCUUUCUUUUCUCAUACCAUUCCCCGAGAAUUUCCAGCAGUCUUAAGAACCUCUCACUCUUCGGUCUGACUUCAACUAACUGUGUUAUAUCCUUAUUCACAACACUCCUUCCACCAACCUGUAUUUCAAUGGGCUUGUUCAAGACUUUACGUGCCAAAGUUUCAUCUUGACGUGGAAAAGUGGCAGAAAAGAGCACAGUGUGCUGAUCAUGUCGAAUAGUUUGAAUAAUACAAAUAAUUUGAGGCUCAAAACCCAUGUCAAACAUACGAUCAGCUUCAUACAUUACCAAGAAUGUGGCCCUUUGCAGAUUGGUGAUUUUUUCACUGCUUGUGCAAAGAAUAUCAAUCAUCCUGCCAUGAGUGCACACAAUAUCACGUGGAGACUCACACUGGAUAAUUAACUGGAUGUCAUUGAUAUCUAGACCAUGAGUAGUAAUAUUUGUAGCACCACCAAGAACCAUAUCAAAAAUCGUGGCUUGAAGCUUCUCCCUCAACGGAUUGAUUCUGAAUUUCGAUACAGCAUUAGGGUUAUCAAUUUUGACAUCUUCCACGCUUAGCUUCACCUUCUUGCUGCUCUUUUCCUUCUUUUCCUUCUUAACGUCAUCGUUCUGCCCUCUAUCUAGAUACUCAGGGUCACGGUUCCAUAACUUAGCCAAAGGAUCAACCCACUCACAGACUUUAACAACUCUGAUCUCCUCCUCUGUAUCAGAAGUUUCUUCGUCAGUUUCGUCUCCCUUGUCCUCAUCGGUUUUAACUUCAUUCAGCAUGUAACCCCUCUUCCAAGAUUUUCCUGUCCUUUUAUAAUACAGCAGCAGAGAUUUCUCAUGUCUUCGACUUCCUUCACUAACUUUGGAGCUUUCAGUAUUUAAUAUCUUAUCUCCAUCAGAAGCCCUUUUGUGCUUCUUUCUCUUCUUCGAUUUCUUUAUGCCAUCGUUGUCAGCUUCAGAAUCAUGCCUUUUAACACUUGCGAUCUUCUUUAUAGACUUGCGAUCUGCAAAGGUUCCUUGAGAUUGAACCACAAUAUUACUCGUUGUCGUCAUCUCUUCGACCGUGUAGGACUCCAGUGAAUCUAACUUGAACGCCAUAACCAGUACAAUUCCCCAUAACGUUUGCUCAAAUCUGAAUUUUAGGGAUUGAACUUUAUUAGAGGUCCAGUAUUGAACCUGUAGCUCUGAUACCACAUAUAGAAUCACAAUCAAUGAAUCACAAUCAAGCUUAAUAAGAAUAACUCUCUUAUUAAUCUCUUGAGAAAAAUAACUCAAAACCUCAAGCUCUCUCAAUCUCACACAAUUCAUAAUCUCUCAUCCAAUCUCUCAACUCAUGAGUUAUGCAACACUCUUGCAUCUCCUUAUAUAUAAAACAAAUUUCCUAAACUCAUUAGGUAUAACAUAUUUCCUAAUCCUUUAAACCAUAACUUGGUAGGAUUAGAAGUUAACUUAUUUAUCAAGUUUCCUUUUUUCUUCAAGCUUAAUCCAACAUCUACAGUGUAUGCUUUUAUAUUUUCCUCUAAAAUAGAGAGUUCUAUUAAAUAGAGAAUUUUAUUAAAAUGGAUUUGCUCUAAUGUAUGAUUCUAUAAUAAAGUUUUUAGAGGAACUAGAGUUUUUAACCGCGCUACGCGCGGAUAAAAUAUUAUAUGUAUUUCUCAGUUAUUAAAAAAUAAUGUAUAAUAUUGUAUUACAUUAUUUAAAGAAUAUAAAAUAAGAUUACAUAACAUAAAUAUAUUUUUUUAAUUUUCUUUGUGAAAAUCAUUAUGUUGUUUGAUUGUUGUACUUGAUUCGCAUAUUCGCAUAUAUCCGUGAUAGAUGAAUAACUAUAUUUUUAUUAUCAGUAAACAAUAUAUAUUUAUUAUAUAAUAUAAGAAAAGUGAAAUUAUUUACUUUUUAAACAAACUUGUCUCAUGUUGGAGAUUCGGUUAUAGACAUAUCAUAUUCGAAAGAGACAUUUUUACAGUUAUCAAUCUUCUUAACAAUCAAGAAACAAAUCUGAAUAUCAAAACAAUACUCCCUCUGUCUUCUUUUAUAUGUCGUUAUAGAAACUUUCACACAGAUUAAUGCAUCAAAUGCAAUUCCUUUCUUAUCCUUCAUUAAUUGAUUAAUUUAGAUACUAAAGCACGUGAAAUGGAGCAAAUAUAGGGUAACUAUAGUCUUUUAUCACUAUAAUUUACAUUGUUUUCUGCGAAACGACAAGUAUAUUGAAAUAUUUUUUUCUUUCCAAAACGUCUUUUAAAACAGAAUGGAGGGAGUAUAUCAUACGAUCUCUUUGUGGAAUAACUGCUCUGAAGAAAUUGAAUUUAUGCAUAAAAAUGACUGGAAAUGGAUGUGCAGAUGUGUUAUCUAAGUCAGCUUUACAAAGUACUAUUCAUAGUUCAUAUGUCAUUUAUGUCCAUCCUAUUUUUUUGUCCAUUCUUUCUUAAACAUCUUGAAAUAACUAACACUAGUUAAUAAUAAACUUUUGGCUGACAAAAAAAAAUCAAAUUUAUCUAAUUAUCGCUUAAUUUGUCUAACUGAUUUAUGUAUUUCUCAAUUCUAAAAAAAUAAUAUAUAAUAUUGUAUUACAUUAUUUAAGAAUAUAAAAUAAGACUACAUAACAUAAAUAUAUUUGUUAAAUUUUCUUUGUGGAAAUCAUUAUGUUGUUUGAUGGUUGUACUUGAUUCACAUAUUUGCAUAGAUAUUUGUGAUAGAUGAAUAACUAUAUUUUUAUUAUCAGUAAAUAAUAUAUAUUUAUUAUAUAAUAUAAGAAAAAUAAAAUUAUUUACUUUUUAAACAACCUUGUCUCAUGUUAGGGACUCGAUUAUAGACAUAUCAUAUUCGAAAAAUACAUUUUUACAGUUAUCAAUCUUCUUAAAAAUCAAGAAACAAAUCUGAAUAUCAAAACAAUAUUUCAUACGAUCUUUUUGUGGAAUAACUGCUCUAAAGAAAUUGAAUUUAAGCAUAAAAAAGGACUUGAAAUGGAUGUGCAGAUGUGUUAUCUAAAUCAGCUUUACAAAGUACUAUUCAUAGUUCAUAUAUCAUUUAUGUUUAUCCUAUUUUUUUGUCCAUCAUUUCUUAAACAUCUUGAAAUAAUUGAUGCUAAUUAAUACUCCCUCCAUUCGAUUAUAUAUGACGUUUUAGAACCUUUCACGUAGAUUAAGGCAGUUGAUACAAUACCUUUUCUAUCCUUUUCGUUAUAUUUUCAAUGCUGACAAUUUAUUGUAAAUCAUUAUUAUUAUCACUAUUUAGUCAAAUGUAACUGAUUCCAAUUUCUAUUUUUUAAUCAUUUCGUGGUUUGAAAGUAUAAAAAUAACAACUGUGCUGAUACUAUUAAUUUGUUUCUUCAAUUAUUAUAUUGUUGAUUGGCUUGAAAUUUCCAUCUCAUAAAAUACAUAGAGUACGUGUUGUUCCAGUUGAAACUUGAGAUUGUUGACCGAAAUGUAUAAUAAUAAUGCAGGGGUGAGUAAAGUCAUUUACCAUUAGAUUUUGCAUUGAUUUCUGAAAAACGUCAACUAUUUCAAAACAAAAAAAAAGUUCUAAAACGUCACGUAAAAGAAAACGGAGGGAGUAAUAAACUUUUGGCUGGCAAAAAAAAAUAAAAUUUGUCUAAUUAUCACUUAAAUAUUUUAUUAAUAUUGUCUAAAAAGCUUUCAAGUGAUAUCAUAGUUUAAUUUUUGUUAGUUUUUUUUGUUAAUUUUUAGAUUUUUUUGUAUUUAAGAUUUUUUUUGUAUUUGAAAAAUUAAAUUUUGGCAUAUAUAUGUUUAGUUUUGUGUAUAUUAAACACUUUUUAAGUUUAAUGAAGUGAUAUAUUUAAUUAUUGCACCCUUAAAUAAUAUUUUAUUAAGACAUUAGAGAAUUAUGUUUUGAGUUGUUUUGUCAAAAUUGUACAAAAAUCUAUGAUUUUUCAUAUUUGUCACGAAAAUUUAUAUGUUAACUUACUUUUACAAAAUUCUAAAUUUGCCACGAAAACAAAAAUUUAUGUUUUUUUCAUAUUUGUCAAUGUUUCACUCUUUCAUAGAAUAUAUUUGCUUAGUCACUUACUUAUUUUUUUUUACAAAACAAAGUAUCGGAGUCUUGAAAGUUGAAUUCAUAUUAUUGUACUUGUACAUAAGAGUUUGUGAUUACAUACUUAGUGAUUCAUGAAUGUGUUCAAGAAAGUUUCAAUGGCUUAGUGGUAACUGCUCUAUAUUUAUGUCAUACUAACCCGGGUUCGAUCCUCGUUUUCGCAUUUUUUUUUCAUUUUUUACGAAAAAAUAAAUGAGAUGACGUGGCAACUUUGGGUUCUCUGAUUGGUUGAUUUUUCUAUCAUACGUGGACACCCUGUCCAUGGCUUAUAUUUGCCUUUUAGUAUAGUAUAGAUGUUAUUUUUUACUUCUAUAUUUAAUGGUAAAAAUAGUACAUUUUUAUAUUUUACUUUAUAAAUAGAAAAACUCUAUUAUAAAGGCAUACAUUGGAGCAAAUCCACUUUUAUAAUAGAAAUUUUUUAUUUUAGAAGAAAAUAUAGAAAUGAAUCUAGAGGUGAGUUGGAAAUAGUCUUAGAUAAUUGAUAUAUCAAACCCAAUCGACAGAGCGAAGAGGAAAGAGAACUAUUAAUAAAGUUUUAUUAAAAAAAUAACUCUGGAAAUUUCAAGCUGGAAUUACUAUAAAAAUAAAAUAAAAUAAAAGAAAAGAAAAUUAUUUUGAUGCAAAAAUGGAAAUUCAGAGAAAAAAGAAAGAAAGAGAAGGCUAGAAACAGAGGAGGCGUUACGUAGUGGAAUUCGAAGAGCCCAGAGCUGACUGGACGAGCCGUUGACCCUCACCCUAUUGUUACUUGUACUUUUUCGUUGAUACCGACACAUGUGGAGAGCAUGAUGAAAUGAUUGCGUGGCAACAUUCUGAACCUUAGAUGAAAUGAUUACCUGGCAACAUUCUCACCCUAACACCCCAAAACUAGCCCAAUUAAAAUUUUACAAAUCUAAUGGAUUCUCUACAACCCAACUAGAAAACUCUAGGAUUCCUCUUUCCCUCCCCUUAUAAAAGCAAGCUCCCACCCAUUUAUCUCUCAUCAAAAGUUUAAAAGCGAAACCCUGCAAAAAAAUUUCGGAGACCGGAAGCCCUAGCCGUCGACCUCUUCUCUCUCCCUCCCCGCGCCGUCUCUCUUCUCUCUCUCUCUUCGCCGCGCCUCCUUCUCUUCUCUCUCUCUCGGCCGACUCUCUCUCUCUCCUCGCCGUGAACAGCCGCGAGUGGUGGUGGUAGCCGUGUGGUGUCGUUGACCUCAGAUCUCAUCUCUCUUGCCUCUUAUCUCAGAUCCAGAUCCAGAUCUAGGUUAAGGUGAAGUGUUCUACCCAUAUUUCUUCCAUGUCCUUUUAUAUUGUUGAAUGGAGAUCUAGAAUUGAGUAGAUCUGUUUGUUGUUAGGUUGAUAGAAUCAUAUUGCAUCAGAACACUCAUAUUGAUUAAAGACAUUAAAUAAACCGUUUGAAUGAUUGAUUGAUUGUUUGAAGAUCUGUUUGUCUAUGAUUGAGAGUUAGGAUGGAUAGAAAGAAUUAAAUGUAGGAUCUUAGAGUACUGUUAACCGGUAUUGGUUAGAUAAAUGAUAGGAUAUAUGUGAAUGAAUGUUAAAUGGAUUGAGUGUGACACCGAGAAUGGGUGUCGUCUAAAAAGGAAAGUAAGAAAGAGUUUAAAGGUAAAAGAAAAAAUAAAUGAUAAGAAAAAAAAGAAAUAAAAGAAAAAGGAAAGUUAAAUGAAUGAAAUACGAACCACCGAGGAACUGGUGGGAGUAUGAGAAAUUAAUUGAAUGGAAUACGAACCACCGAGGGACUGGUGGGGAGUAUGGAAAAACGCGGCAGCCGUAGCGUUCAAAAACGGCAGGGUAAGAAUAGAGGCGCCGGUAAGAUUGAGUCACGCCGAGUCUUGGCGGGAAGGGGUCGUAAUACACUGCAAGGGGUAUAGACUACAUCCAAGGGAACCGGAUGCCGAGUGUACAAGGGCAGGCGGCUCCACAGGAACGCAUCAAGAAAAGGGGAGGGUUGGUCCGCUUGAGCUGUGUAGGUCCUAGAGUUCUAGGAUGAUUGGAGUCUUAAAUAAUAAACCGAUUUAUGUGAAUUGAGUGAUGACUGAGGUCAUUACAUUACUUGAUUUCGUGAAAUGAAACAUUAAUAGCUAGUUAAGAAUUGGGUGUAGUGACUAGUCGGUUCUCGUUUCGCAUUGAGCAGUAUCGAGGCUCAUGGGGGAGACUGGUCUAGAAUCGCUUCACUGAGUAUUCAUACUCACCCCUCUUUUUCCCUCUCCCUUUUGCAGAACUAUAAGUGGAAGUGUUGAUGGUAAGAAACGAAACACACCUGAAACUCAUGGGACCAGAAACGGGACACACGGAGAUGUCGGGAAAGUAGACAUGUGUGUCCUCAACCCCGCGCCCAGGAACCCCGGUUGAAAAUGGGGAAGGGGCGGGUGUUUCAAUUGGUAUCAGAGCCAGGUUAAGGUCCCUUAAUACUAACUUAAGGGAUCAACGUUUCCGCCAUUGUUCAUUUUCCCCUUAUGGUUCUGAUAGACCCGUCAUAGUCAGUGUUGAAAGAGAAUUUGAACAGCUCAGAGUCUUUGGCCGGGAUCAGAACAACGAAAGUCCUCGUACCGCGGUGUGGUGGAGUUUUAGAGGUCCACGAGGGGAUUAACAAGGAGUUGUAAGACAAGUAUACAGAGGGAUCAGUGGCAUAGCACGACAAGCUAAGGAGGAAUGGAAGGUCGGACAUACGAGCUUGAGGUGAAACGUUUCGUCGGCAACACCACCCCACGCCGGGCCGGGAAGGCUGGGGGAGGAGGGUCGGACGCAAGGUCGAGGCGUGCACAACUUCACGGAAGAGAUAACCCUACAAAGAAAUAGCCUUGUGACAUUCCAAUAUUACAGUGAAGCUUGUUUCCCAGUAAAAAAGGGGGAGACAUGGGCGCGGGCCCCACUUCAUUGGCGUGGGCCCGCCAGCGAGGAAGGAACAAACCGGGGCGGCCAGGGGACUGCCGGCUGGACAAAAGGAGGAAACUGAUUUCAGAUCGCAAUGGCUAAGCUAAGGAUCAUCUUGGGGGUAAAAAGGAUGAUGGUGGAUCGUCAUUAGGCGAGAAUGUAGAUGCUAGUAAGGACGAUGGAGGAUCGUUUUGAAUCAAGAUGCAAUGUACUAAUAAGGAUAUGAGAUCUUCUUGGGGUAAAAAGGCUGAUGGUAAUAAGGAUCAUCGUGGGGUAAAAUGGAUCGUCUUGGGGCAAAAAGGGAUGUUAAGGACCACACCGGGAUAUUAUUUCAUGGAAUGCUUAAGCAGCACUAGACUUGAGAAAUGAUUGAAAAUUACCAUCUAUUCAUGACUGCUAUUAUGUUUCUGACCAGAUCUUUUUAUGCUGCAAGAUGUCUUCACCAGUGCAUCACGAGUUCGGAGAAAGACGCAUGCGCUAUGGACCAAAGGGGACAAGGGCGUACGCCCGCAAGCCCUAUUGCGACGCUUGGGGUAACAAGGUACAUGCACUCUUCCUAGACGAAGAGGAGAUGGGGUUUGCGGAGUAGCCGAACACCCACAUCCAGGAGACGACCGUGAGGCGUCGGGUACUGAUGCCCCACUUCCAGCGGGCAGCCGAGUACAGGCGGUUAUACCAGGGUCAGGGGACUUUCCAGUUUGCACCUGAAGUUGAAAUGACACCGCCCACGAGGAGCCGAGGGCGUCCAAGGAAGACAGAGUUAACCAGGGAAGGUCCUGGACCGAUUAGGAUGGAGGACAGUGUACCAACGAGAAAACGUGGACGUCCAAGGAAGAUUCCUAGCAUCAAUGCAGAGAGCCUGAGGAGCAUAACCAGAGUAUGUCGGUGUAUAACACUGAUGCAGGCCAGGCAAGGGCCGCCCUCAGUCCGGGAAUACACAGAGGAAUUCCUGGAGUCAGCCAAAAGAUGCAAGCCCAAGUCAGCAGAUGAUUGGUGCCGGUGGUAUAAGGCAGGACUCCGCGAGGAGAUUGGGGGCAAGCUGAUUGGUGUGUUGGAACCAUGGGAAUUCGCCUUGGUGAACCGGAUGGCCGGUCAUGCAGUGGAGGCCGAACGAGAACUUGCUCGUCGGGUCAUCGCCAUCUCGAGCUCUGAGGAAGACGUGGAAGUGGAAGAGGAUCCAUCGGAGAACUCAGAGUGGGAAGAGGAGCCGGAAGUGGAAGAGGAGCCGGAAGUGGAAGAGGAUCCAUCGGAUGGAUAGAAAGAAUUAAACGUAGGAUCUUAGAGUACUGUUAACCGGUAUUGGUUAGAUGAAUGAUAGGACAUCUGUGAAUGAAUGUUAAAUGGAUUGAGUGUGACACCGAGAACGGGUGGCGUCUAAAAAGAAAAGUAAGAAAGAGUCUAAAGGUUAAGGAAAAAUGAAAUGAUAAGAAAAAGGAAAUAAAGGAAAAAGAAAAGUUAAAUGAAUGAAAUACGAACCACCGAGGGACUGGUGGGGAGUAUGGAAAAUUAAGUGAAUGGAAUACGAACCACCGAGGGACUGGUGGGGAGUAUGGGAAAACGCGGCGGCCGUAGCGUUCAAAAACGGCAGGGUAAGAAUAGAGGCGCCGGUAAGAUUGAGUCACACCGAGUCUUGACGGGAAGGGGUCGUAAUACACUGCAAGGGGUAUAGACUACAUCCAAGGGAACCGGAUGCCGAGUGUACAAGGGCAGGCGACUCCACAGGAACGCAGAAAGAAAAAGGGAGGGUUGGUCCGCUUGAGCUGUGUAGGUCCUAGAGUUCUAGGAUGAUUAGAGUCUUAAAUAAUAAACCGAUUUAUGUGAAUUGAGUGAUGACUGAGUUCAUUACAUUACUUGAUUUCGUGAAAUGAAACUUUAAUAGCUAGUUAAGAAUUGGAUGUAGUGACUAGUCGGUUCUCGUUUCGCAUUGAGCAGUAUAGAGGCUCAUGGGGGAGACUGGUCUAGAAUCGCUUCACUGAGUAUUCAUACUCACCCCUCUUUUUCCCUCUCCCUUUUGGAGAACUAUAAGUGGAAGUGUUGAUGGUAAGAACGGAAACGCACCUGAAGCUCAUGGGACCAGAAACGAGACACACGGAGAUGUCGGAAAAGUAGAUAUGUGUGUCCUCAACCCCGCGCCCAGGAACCCCGGUUGGAAAUGGGGAAGAGACAGGUGUUUCAAUCUAGGUCGUUUUUAUUUUUAUUUUUAUUUUUAUAUUUAAAAUAAAAUAAAUAUUUAUUUAAUAAAAUUAUAACAAAAUCUUUUCUGAAUCAUUUUAAAAAUUAUUUCCAAAAUUUAUUAAUUUAAAUUUUUGUUAUCAUAAAAUAUAAUUAGAAAUUAAAAUUUAAUUUAGUUUUGAUUUAUAAAGAAAAUUUUAAAUUGUAGAAAAUUAAGUUUAUCAAAUGUACAUAACUUCAUUAUAAUAUCUUUUAUGAUCUCUAUUUUUAUUUAAAAUAAAAUAAAUAUUUAUUUAAGAAAAUUAUAGCACAAUAUUUUAAAAAUCUUUCCAGAAUCAUUUUAAAAAUUAUUUCCGAAAAUUUAUUAAUUUAAAUUUUGGUUAUCAUAAAAUAUAAUCAGAAAUUUAAAUUUAAAAUUUAUAAAUGAAAAUUAAAAAUUAUAUAAAAUAUUUUAGAGAUAAUAUCAACUUAAAUUAUUACCUUCCAAAAAAUACAUUUUACAAAUAUUUUAAUUUUUUUUGUUGGAAAUCAAUAUCCAUUUCUAUUUAAUUUUUAAAAUAAAAAUAUCUUAUUUAUUAAACACAUAAAUCAUGACUUAUUACAUGUAUGUUUUUUAAUUUAAACUAUCUCUUAGAGGUCACAACUUAAAUGCUUAUAUUAUGUAACACUAGGCUUGGCCCGGGAUACGCCCGGGUUUUUGUUUAAAUUUUGAUUUUUAUUAAAUAUUUUGUACGUAUGUUUACUUUGAUAUAUAAAUAUUAUAAUAUAUUAUAAAAAUAUAAAUAGCUAAAAAAAUUAUAAAAUCACUUUCAGUUAUUUAUUAUUUAUGUCUUACAAAUUUCAAACAUUUUAAUAUCCAAAUGUCUGAUAUUUUUAUUAUUGGAAAUUAUAUAUAAGGUGAUGAGCAAAAUAUAAAAAAAUUGAUUAAAUUUUAGUUAUUUGUUUGAUUGGUUGGGUUGUAAAAAUGUUUCAUUUCACUUAAUUGUUUUUUAUAAAUUUCGGUUCCAAUUAUUCUCUUAGUAAUUUAAUUGACCCUCACUUUUAAAUAUACAAUCCUUUUAAAAUAUUUUUUUUAUUAAAACACUGGUUUAAAAUUGUAAUAUCUUUCUACAUUAAAAACUUACAACUACGUCACUAAAACCUAAAAUUUACCAACUAAAUUCUUACAACAAAUGUUUUUGCACCUACAUCCCCAACUGUUUAGACCCAUGAUCUAAAUAUUCAUUUAUCUUAAUUAUAUAAAUUUUGAUGCAAAACUUUUUUAUAUGAACAAAUCACACAUAAUUUUAUUUAAGUUAUGAUCUGUAUGGCUGGAAUACUUAUUAACCUGAAGGCUCUAAAGGUGUAAGCCAAAGAUCACUUUUUUUCUUAAAAAUGUUAAAGAAGAGACAUUAUGGCCUGGUCCAUUCACGAAGCGUUAUCUAACAAUAAUAAAAGGAGAAUAAGCUCAAUGUUUAGCUAUGCCACAUAGACAAAUUAAUUCAGACCAAUCACAGUGCUAUAUUAUGCCAUGUCAUCUACUGCAGUGAACCCUAUAGCUUUCGUAGCCGACUGGUCGCCUUAUUUUUGAUCAUUUUCCUAGGAGAAACCCAGCAGCUUUUACCUCUUUACCUUCUCCUCUGUAACAUCAACGAAUCAUAAUCCUGAUCCAUAAAGCUCCAUUAUUUAGUGCAAUCAGUAUAUAAUCUAUCUCUUACCCUCCUAUUUUGCUGAGAAGAAAAUGACCUAGAAUCUAUCUUUUCCAGGUUCUGCCAAUGUCAUCAACUCUAGAUCAAGUAGGCUCUCAUCUCUCCGCCUCUAAUUUUGUUUUGUGUCUUCAAAUAUGAAUUCAUAGCGCUCCACAUAGAUGAUCAUAUCGCCUCUGCUUUUCAGAGAUCAUCGGAGAGGUUAGAAACAUUUGGACCACACACACGUAAUAUAGGCUCGCCUUUGAAAAAAAACGCUUAUAACAAGAAUCGCAUCCUGAGUGAAGUCACAAAGGUUUUGAAUCCGGUGCACCUGAUCCAUCGUUGCCUCCGCAUCUAUGCUGUAAGUACCCUGUAAAUAUUCUUCUCUGUUUUUUUUUAAAACUAUAUUCUUCUCUGUUUCGUCAUGAGUUUCAUAUAAUCGCAGCAAUGAACUUUUAUAGGAAGGAGAAGUAAAUACGCCGACAGAGAAGAUGGAGAAAGAUCUGCUUAUUUCUCUAUCGCAGGUACAUAUUAGUCAACUAUCCAAUCAAUUGUCUAAUCAUGUUCUUUGAAGCUUUGAGAUUCUGAAAGACAGUAUUGAGUCUGAUUCCUUCAAGUUAUUGAGAGAAAUUCAUUGUUGGAUUAGUGAAGUUAACCUUAAUUCUACUGGGGUUAGUUCCUUGGUUCGAUCACUCUGGUUGCAACUACCACACACAGCUAACACAUCGAACAUAUGUAUUGCAAAGUAUUCAGCUUCAUCUAAACUUAAAGCAUAUAUUUCAUGUACGUUAUGAAACAUUGUUUCCAGAUUCCUGCCUAACAUCAGUACAACUUCGCAUGGACGUGACGGUUUGACUUAGUGCGUUUGAUGGACUAUCACGGGAACUUCACCAGAAUCUUGAAAGCUUUGGUAUUGAUGGAUACUUAUGUAACCAUCAUUUUCAGGUAGGCUAUUUCUCAAUGCCACAUCUAAGUUAAAUGAUCUAACAUUAACUUUUACUUUGACAAAGAGACGGCUGCAAGCAAUAGUUUAUAUGGCGAGUAAGAAUUUGAGACGCCAAACUUUCUUUAAUAAUUCCAUAGUCCGGUCUCUCUUAUUCACUACAUAAAUCACACAUUGUAGGUAAGGGUCAGUGAUACAGUAACUUCAUUUAAGUACCCUUGUGUCCAGAAGAUUGAAUUUCUAACACUAGGAUCCUUGGUUUAAAAAAGCGCUCGCCUUUGGCGCCAUGGCGCUAGGUGAGGUCUAGCGAUGUCCUCAUCGCCUCAGCACCUCAAGGCGUGGCAACUUACAUAAAGCGAGCGCUUUCUACGCUUUCUUACUAAACCUAAGGCUCCUAAAGCGACGCGUUAUUUGGUUUUAAGUCAAACUGAAUUGGUUUGCCAAAUUUAAACUGCUAAAUUGAGUUAGAUUUGUAACACAUCUUUGGCGUCACAUAAAAGCCCUUUUCAAACCCUAAGUUAGUCUUAUAUACCGUAACUUAAGUUUAAAGUUAGGGUUCCAUGUGCUAUUGUUCUUCUCUCUAUUUCACGGCUUUGAUGUUUGACGUUUCUCCUGAUAUUUUUGUUCACUAGUAAGUACUCUGUUUUGCACUUUGGUUCUAAACUUGUAUUCUAUCUAUACCUAUAUUUUUGCACUAUAUUUUUUGCCUUCACACACAAAGCGCUCGCUUUGUGUCGCCAUGGCGUAAGGCGAGAGGCGAGACACUCAUCGCCUCACCUCGCCAUGCGCCAUUUUAAACCAAGCUAGGAUCUCAGCGCAUAUGUUCUAAACUUCCCACAACAGGUACAAAUUUUUUUUCAAAUUUUAUACUUCGAAUCUCUACUAUAUACAUAUAAAUCUUAGUACCAUGCUUUCAUUCAUUUGCGUUCCAUCUGCAAUGUUUGUAACCCAACUUUAAAUUUUUGUUCUUAAACAUAAAACUUGGGAGAGGUUGGUAUUAGCUUCUGCGCUCGAUGACGUUGCUAAUAUUCGAAGAGGCUUUUAUUAACUGAAUAAACCCGAUACCUUAGAUAUGGGACAUGCCCAAACGAAGUCCGUUUGAUGUGUGAUACCCGAAUCCAUUGCCUUUAGCCCCAUUUGCCAACUUGAUACUAAAAUCAUGCAAAUAUCCAAGACCACUAAAAAGAACAUUUAUGUUAUUUUUCAGGAAAAUUCCUUUAGGGGGGUGUAUUGAAUUAAGGGGUUUGGGAGAUUUUGGAGUGUUUAAAUUUUGGUGAGAUUUAGGUGUGUUUUGAAGUGAUUUGACAGAUUUUUGUAAAAAAUUAAAAAUUAAAAUAAAAUUUUACUGGAAAUUUUAGAAUUAUUUAGGUGAUUUGGCAAGAUAUUUACUGAAAAUUUUAGAAUUCUUUAGGUGAUUUGAAAUAAUAAUAUUUAACUCAUAAUAUUUUCUCCACUGUUGAGAAAAUCAAUUCUCAAAUACGCAGAUCUAUGAAAUAAGUACGUACUAGAUUUUGACCCGCGCUUGAAAGCGCGGGUUUGAUUUUGUUUUACUUUUCAUAAUUAUGAAAUUUAGGGUUUGAAUCAUAUAAUUUUGAAGAUUAUAUCACUAAUAUAUAUGUCAUUUGCGUAAGCACAAUUAAUUUGUAUGAAAUUAGAUCACGCGUUUGCAUUUUUGAAGUUUGGUCGAAAUUUGUUUGAAGAUUCAUUUGUGUGUAAAAAUAGUAUAACAAUUUAAAACUGAGAUAAAUAUAGUGUUAUUAGUAACGAUUUAUGUUACAUUUAAUUGUAUGUCUAUUAACAAUCAAACUACCAAUUAUAAAACCAAGUAUUAGAAUAUUUUUAAUUUUUUUAUAUAAAAGUAUCUAUAAUGUAAAUCUAAACUACAAUUUACUAUUUUAUAAGAGUAUCAGAGACAUAUGUUCCAUUAUUAAAAGUUAUAUUUUAAAAAGAAUGUUUUAUUCACAUAUAUUUUUGCAAGUUAUGUUCUUAAGUAUUUGGACUUUAUUCUAUUUUUAAAUUUAAUGUGGGUCUCAAUUUAAUUAUGUUUAACUUUUUGGUCUUAUUAAUUUGGGUGUUUAUCUGUGUUAGAAAUUAAUUGUGUAGUCGAUGGUACUAUGCUCCUUGCGGGUAAAAUGAAUAUUUCGAUGUUUUUAUAAGUGGAGGAAUGAAUAUUUCGAUAAAGUUAUGUUAUAAUAGGUUGUGCUUUGGUUUUGGUUCAUGUAAUUUAUUUUGUUUGGGUAGAGUGGUUUAGCAAUCGAUGAUUUAAAUGGUUAAGAAUAAAUAAUAAUGUAUCCAAUUUGAUAGUUAGAGUAAAAAUCGCUUAUAUAUAGGUAAAAUAUCUUGUCACAUAUUGUUAUAAUAUAUAGGAGAAGUCCAAAAAAAUAAAAAAUAAAAGAGUCCAAACAACUUUUUUAAGUAGAUUUAUUAAAACUCCUUUCCUUUUAAUAGUAUUGAUAGUUCUAAUCAUGUGAACACAAGAAUACAUUUCAAAGUUCACUUUUUUUCCCUUUUGUAUUCAUGAGUGUGGAUGCUAGCUUAUCUUUCUCUUCUUGAUUAAUCAGUGUUUCUGAAAUAGUUGAUUUAUGUUGUGUUUGUUUGUGGUAACCUGUCCCUAGCUUGCAUCGUGGUAAUGACAUCUCCCUUUUCUUUCAUCAUUAUGCUCCAUAUUCAUCUGUGUAGGUUAGCUUCCAUGGUCUGAUUAGAUACUUUGUUCAUGAUGAUCUUAUAGAGUGGGAUGUCUUUCAUCAAUGAACCAUUUCUAGCUUCAGUUAUUGCAGGUGAUCUAGGCUGUCUGAUUUCAUCCGAGAAUUUGUUUUCAAGUUCCAUCUCUUCAAACAGCCUGCGGUCUCUGCUUCUGUGCCAAGAGCGCUUCUUCUCUGCUUUCCAAGCCUCUUCUUUUCCCUAACAACUGCUUGCUCAAUGCUUUUAGUUCUUUACUUCAUUUCCUGCAAUAGCACAAUUCCAUUGUCUUGGUUGGUACUGCUAUACCCUUUAGGCUCUUCAGAUAUUACCGCUUCUGGAUACUCACCAUCAUGAAGAAAUUGAAAGAGUUUAGCUACUGAGGAAUAUAGAGGUAUAUAUGCAACAUGCUCAUGUUUCACCAAAUGGAAGGCACUAACAAGGUUCAGCAAUAAAAGUUAAUCGCUAGAGGUGACAUGUCAUUUAUAAUGAUACUAAUAUGUUUAUCUAAUUAUCUGUCUACAACAAUCUCCCUUUUCCCACUAACAAUUGGUGUUGCCAUCACUAUGACGUAUACAUACUUUCUAAAUGAAACACAGUGGAAAAUUUUAGUAAUCUCAAGGGGAAAACACUCAAAAAAAGUUUAUGUCCAUAAUUUUAUGAAAAUCAACAAAAGACUUGUGACUCAGAGCUUACUGCCAAACCGGUGAAAAAAACAUGACUUUCUCUUUGCCAGCUAUUAUUUUCUUUGUGGAAACUAAAUAAUUGUCAUUAGAAAUAGUCUAAAAAUAAGAAAAAAAAAACGUUGUUGCAAUCAAGAUUACAUAUGUGUAGCAUCUGCCCACAUAGUUGCUGCAAUAUUUGCUCUCCAAUUAUUAGCAUUCACUCUUUGUUGUUCUUGAGUACCUUGAAAAUUUUCAUCAGCAUUAUUCUCCUCUUCGCCUUCUUCUUCAUCUCUACUUUCUUCAACAACUACUUCUUCAGGAAGAAACAUAUCUGAACGGCAUUCCUUACGAAGAUAGUUGUGUAAAACAACACAUGCAAGUACUAACUCUGCUUGCGUCUUAUACGGAAAUGGUGGUGCACAUUUGAAGAUGAGAAAUCUAGAUUUAAAGAUGCCAAAAAUUCUCUCUAUCACAUUUCUCAAGCUUGAAUGACGAUGGUUGAACAACUCAUUUUGAUUUACCGGAUCUUUUCCUUGUCCUCUAAAAUCUUGAAGAUGAUAACGGGUACUUCAAUAUGGAGCUAGAAAAUUACGACGAUUAGCAUAUCCACAAUCGACCAAAUAAAACUUUCCUGAAAUUUUAGAAUGUAUAUAAAUAUGAGAAAUACGUAAAUUAACAUAAGAUUUUUUAUCAUAAGCAAAAUAUGUACCUUCUGGAACUUUUAGUCGGUUGCUACUUCUUGUUAAAGCAUCUUGUAAUACUUUUGCAUCAUGAGCUGAGCCUUCCCAUCCACUAAGAACAUACAUGAAUUCUAAAUCAAAGUUACAUGCAGCUAAAAUAUUUUGAGAUAGUUGUCCUUUUCUGUUACGAUAACUAGAUGAAUCUUUUCCAGUUAUCAUUGCAAGAAUAUGUGUACCAUCAAUAGCUCCAAUGCAGUCCUAAGAAAAAUAUGAAGUCAGUGUUAAAAUUUAAUUACACCUAAAGAAUACCAAAAAAAAAACUAUUUACCUUAAAGUAAGGAUAAAACCUUGUGCUGUCUCUUAUGUUUGGAGGCACUGUAGUUCCAGGUUUAGCUAUAUAGCUUGAAGCAAGUUCAUUUAAUACCUUGAGAAUUGUAUUAAAUCUCCUACUUAUUGAGAAACGUGACUUCUUGAAUCUAUCUUGAGCUUGAAUAUAUCUUGAAUUUUGACCAACAAUAAACAGAAAUGUGGCCAACAUUUCUUCGACUGAAACGUAUCUUGUAUCUUUUACUCCCAUCCGUUCUCUAAUAAUAGAGCAUAGCUUCAGAAAAACAUCCGGAUACAUACGAUAUAAAUGUCGAAAAUGAGCAGGAUCUUCAACCAAUGCAUUUUGUAUGUAUUCAUGUCCAAGUCUUGUAGUUGAUCUUCUAAUUGGGUGUUGUAUUUGCAAAAUCUGCGAAGUCAAAUACCGGAUCUUUGCGAUGAUGGACAAAACCAGGAUCAUAAUAUCAACAUCUGUUUUAAAAUUUGCCAUCUUCUUUCUUUUCUUCCUAGCUUGUACCUCUUCACUUGCAUACACAACAUGAUUCAUUGUAUAUCCCCCCUACACAAGAAAUCAUUAAAAAUUAUAUAAUUGUAAUUUGGAAAGUAUGAUACAAAAAUCAUUCAUAAACUCACAAGAAAGCAAAGCGGCGGAGAGAACACUCUUCUUUCUCUAGAAGGAUGAGGACAAAUAAAUGUACAUGUAACCCUCACUCCACCCGCCAAAUUUGACCGCCAAAUUAAAACACAACCUUUGUUGGUUUAAGAAAUCCACUUCAUAAAGAAAUCUCUUUUUUUUUUUUGUUAUUUAUUUGCUAGAUUCUUCGGCUGUAUAUGGUAACAACAUAAAGAUAUUGGAACAAAUCAAGCAUAACAAAAUCUAAACAUCUGAAUUGUUGAGAAACAAGAUAGCGAAGAAAUUGAUAAGGUCAAAUAAAAUUAAUAAAGGUAAAGGUAACAACCAUCCCACCGCCAAAUUUGACCGCCAAAUUAAAACAGAGUCUUUGUUGGUGUAAGUAAACCUUAUAAUGAUAUCUAUACGUUUCUUCAAGAAAAAGCAUUUUUGUAGGAGCAGAAAAUAUUUUAUUUAAUGAUCUGAAACUAGAUAAAUAAAUAAAAAAAACAUUGAAUCGUUGCUAAACCAAUGAAAGAACCAUAGCAAUUUGCUAAAAGUAAUAAUAAAAACUCAAAACCUAAGAAAACUGAAAAGCUCCACAAAUGGAAAAAUCACCCAUAACACUUCAACCCUUUGUCAAUGCAUUGAACCUCAUCAACUUUGUUUACGAAGAUUUUGUUUUAUCCAUCCACGACGAUCAGCUACAGACAUCUUCACGAAUCCAGAUUUCAUGCCUAAACUGUGAACAAGAGUCAUAGCUUCAUACCGUAAAUCAUCAUCCAAAUCAGGAAUUUCGUUGAUAGCAUCCCACACAUUGUUAGCUUUGUCCUUAGCUUCUUUCUCUUCAUCUUCUUUUUCCCAUCGUUUCUGUAUCAUGCCAAAGAUUUGGCUACUGAUUUCUGUCACCUCCUCACAAGCCUUAUCUAAAUAAGAAUCAGUUCUGGCUUUCUUUCUUAGGGGAAGUUUUUCUCCCGUACUUUUUUCUAAUGAAGAAAAAACUACGUUUUCAUAACCUUGUUGGUGUAUUAUAUCUUCUCCACUAUUCAUCAUCUGGACAAAACUUAUAUCAUUUGCCCUCUCACUGUCUUCAAUUUGAGAGUUAAAAGGAUUAACAUCAUCACCUAACCCCACAGCAUUCUGCCCUCUUGCAGUGUUUUGUCCAAAUAUCAUUUGUAACUCCUCAAAAUCUUCAAAUGAAUCAUCACGCAAGUAUUUAUUAUUGGGAUUAGCCUAAUUUAAAAAGAAAAAUAUCAUUACAAUAAGAAUCAUGCAUAUAAUCAACAUCAAAAUAUUCAUAAAUUUUUAGAGAUAAUUUAUACCUUUAAAUAGACUUUCCAUACUUCAUCAUCUGCUGUGAACUUGUUUGUUUCAGGGUCCCACCCAAAACCAGAGUUACAACGAAGAAAAUCUGUCAAAUUAUGGUACCUGGUUUUCAGGAUCUUCAUCCUAUUUUUGUAGUGGCCAUAUGUUUUCUUCGAUCCAAGUUGUUGGCGUAGAACUGAUAAUACUCUUGUCUCGAAAGUUAGCUUAUUGAAUUUACCGCUAGCAUCACGGAAACCAUUGUUGAUCACAUCCACCAGUGAGCGUAAUAACAAUCUGUUUUCAGGUCCAGACCAUGAAUGAUAUUGACCCUUACCUUUUGCAUCUUGGGAAUCUCCCAUUGUAUGGAAGGUAACUAAUCACAAAGUACAACAGGGAUGGUAAGAACAUUAUGCAAAGAAUACUAUAUAUAUUCAUGAAAACAUAACAAAGUAUUAAAACAAACGCGGAUGUAAAAUAAAGUAAAUAAAAAUACUACUCACUAUGAUAGAAAAGAGGAUGAUCUUUGAGUUCAAUAACAAUUUGGAAGCCUCUCCCUUUAGAAUAUAAGAUAACUACGUGAUAUUGAACACAUAUAUACACUGAUAUCUAACAACCUAACCCUAAUAAAUAACUAAGAAGCCCAUGAUUAUAUUUUGUCAGAAAACAGCCCAUCAGGCAUCAAGUCCAAGCUAAUGUUUUUUUUUCUCAGAAAACAACCCAUAAUUAUGUUUUGCUCGAUGAUGAUUAUGAACAGAGAGAAAAAAGGAACAAACCUUGCAAGGUUGAGGACACGGUGGAUGUCAAAAGAUAAGAAACAGAGCUUGAUUCAUGUCAUAUAACAACAAUAAGAGACUAGUUCCUUGAAGGUUGGCCUCCAAGAUCGAUCCUUUUAAUUGGGUAGCUGCGCGUGAAGUUGUGGUGGAGGACGGGGACAUCAUGAGUGAAGAAGAAGCCACAACAAGGCUGCAUCCAGUCCAUGAGAGGAUGAAACCAGCCUAACGAGGCUGCAUCGAGUCCAUGUGUUCAUACAUAUAUUCAAAAUGUAUUAAUUAAUUUAUUUCAAAUAUCUUCAAAUAACAUCUAUAGAGAUGUUAUUUUACAAGACCUAUUUUUAACUAAAAAAAACGUGAAGUCUCCUAAAAUCUGUAUCACAAAUUUUUCUUGUUAAAUAUUGUUUUCAAUUGAAUAACAGGAGAUUUGAUAUAGUUUAUACAAAUUGUUAAUUGAAUAACAAGGGAUUGUAAGAGAAUUGAAAUCACUUUUCAUAAAUCACAUAUUGAAUAACAGGAGAUUUUAAAAGAGUUUUUAAAAUAAUUGAUUGAAUAACAGGGGAUUUUAAUAAAAUCCCAAAAUCUCCUAAAAUCAAUAAUUCAAUACACCCCCCUUAGUAGUUUUUUAAAAGAAAAUGACAAUUUACCAACUUGAUACUACUUUUUUUUUAACAACAAAAGUGUUUUUUUCCCCAUCUGGUUUCAUUAAAACAUUAAAAGAUACAAAGGUGAAAUACAGAACCGGCGGAACAUUCGGAACAUCCACGGAAGCUAAUGCCCAUAGAGGGAAACAAGAACCCAAACAACCGGGCUACAUACCAACAUCAUGAACUUAAACUAAAUACCUACACUCUUUUUGUGAAACUCAUAAGCUAACACCCAUAAAUAAAAGAACAGACUUAAUAGCCAAUGACUAGCCGGAAUCCUUGCAACAACGCAACACGUAUGACAGCUUCAAACAGAGCAGAACCCUCAUCUGAACCACCUGUUCAUGAUGACAACAGCCACACCUCUUCAACACAAUCAAGACAACAACCAGGAUGAAACAUCACCCACCGGAGCACUUACUCAACCGCACCAUAAGCUGGAAACCCCCAUGCCUCAACCUCUUUAUAUUGCUUUACCCAAAAGCCACGAGGAAGACAUAGACCAAAAGAAGACCAGAAGAAACACUAUUUCAAAAAGUGGGAGACAGUCUCCUUUGAACCUGAGAGACUAAUAGGAGUUCAGAAACAACCUAUUUCUCAAGGACCAUAACCUCCAAUUGCUCACUACACACGGCCACGUUACUGCAACACCGUUGCUGAACCAAAGACCAACUAAGACAAGUUCAAAACCCAUGAGAUUCAACCCCUUGGCCAGAGGUACACAAACCUGAUGGAGAGACACCAGAAUGGAACUGAGGAGCUCUCACUACCACUUGAAACACAACACUCCGGCCGAAUCUGGAACCCGGAAAAAGCAGAUCUGAAAACUAGAUCAAACCUGCAAAAUCCAGAAACCCAGAUCUACAAAGGAAAUAAAAACAAAUCUGCAAACAGACUACAGAUCUGUCAUCAAAGAGCCUUAACAAAGGUUAAUAAUAGCACACACAUGCCAUCAGGAACCAAAGAGAGAACACACAAGAGGAUAUGCAAGUAUUGAGUAGAAAGGAAAGGCAAUAACUAAAAACUAAAACGAGACAGAUUACUUCGACGGCGACGCCGAGGGCGCGCCACCGCCGGAACCACCACGAUUCAACCGGAGGAGAAAAGAAAACUUAAGAGAGAAGGGAGAGAAAAGAAAACGGAGAAGCAAUAAGAGUUGGUUUGCCAACUUGAUACUACAAUCAAGCAGAUAUCCAAAACCACUAAAAAUAAAAAAACAUAUUAUUUGUUGGGGUCAAAAACGGUUACGACGGAAUUACCACCCGAAAAUCCUCGGAGAUCGUAUUUCCGAAAGAGAUAGUAAAAGGAGAGACGUAAUUUUCGUAAAAAUUACCAAUACGAAGAAGUAUCCUUUGGGAUUCAAACCGAACAAACCAAGCUCGGUCACCGCGCAUACACGCCGUCCGGUCGCUAUGCAGCAACCAAACCCGAGCCAAGCUCGGUCGCUAUGUAGCGACCGAGCGCUCGUCCUGCUCGGUCGCUAUGUAGCGACCGAGCUCGAGCCAAAACUCGGUCGCUACGUAGCGACCGAGCGAUCGUCCCGUUUGGUCGCUACGUAGCGACCAAGCUCGAGCCAAAGCUCGGUCGCUACGUAGAGACCGAGCGAUCGUCCCGCUCGGUCGCUACGUAGCGACCGAGCCCGACCAAGCUCGGUCGCUACGUAGCGACCGAGCGAUCGUCCCGCUCGGUCGCUACGUAGCGACCGAGCUCGAGCCAAAGCUCGGUCGCUACGUAGCGACCGAGCUCGAGCCAAAGUUCGGUCGCUACGUAGCGACCGAGCACUCGUCUCGCUCGGUCGCUACGUAGCGACCGGGCUCGAGCCAAAGUUCGGUCGCUGUGUAGCGAUUGAACCUUUCCGAACAUCGAUACGACACCAGUCCUUGCAUUCUCGUCAAACCUUCGAAUGCUAUCUCCCGAAGACCGUAGCAAGCUCAGUCCAUGUUUCUUGCUAUUCUAAUUCAUCGAUCAAACUUCGCGGAUUAGAAACCGCGGAAAACUCGUAGUAAACGUGUCGAGUCGGAAGACGGCCCAAAGGGACCUAAAACACGACUCGAGGCCCAUCCUACGAUUUUUCCUAACCAAAAGCCCGUGAACCACAGCAUGGUUCACGCUUGGCCCACGGGGAAGGAUAAAUGUCAAGUUUCCGCGGAUAAAUACGGAAGUUUUGAAGAUAAUUGUGAAGAUCGGGAAAAAUGGAAUAUCUCCAUUUUUAUGCUAUGACGGCUUAAGGGCAGAAGAGUAAAAGCGUAAACCGACCUUGGAGCUAGUAUAUAAGGAGUCCUAGGCGAGGAGCAGAAAAAUGAACUUUUUUCAGAGCAAACUUAGCACUUAGAGCAAUUUAGGCAAUUUUCCGUUUUUGUUAUUUCGAGCUGCGACUCAAUUAGGUUUAGCCGUCUUAGGGUUGCUAGAACUAGGAAUCUCGCUGACAGCUCUCGAGCCCAGGCUUAUACCUUGUUGUAAACGCUCAUACGCAGAUUCGGAAUAAGAUCUUCUUUGCUCUCUUUUCGAUUUCUUAUUUUUAUCGUUGUUGUUCUCGUGUUCUGAUUGCUUGACGUGUGGUAAUUAACAGAUAUCCGGGUCCUCUGGGAAAUUAGGGUUUUCCUAGUUUCCUUAUUUAAACAGAAAUCGACAGUGCGAAUUUCGGUUCCCACAGUUUGGCGCUAGAAGGAGGGGGCCUUACGGAUCAAUCUAACCCGCAAAAGCCACACACAGUCAGACAUGUCAACCAACGACGCGGAUAACGUGCAAACUCUUAAAGGAGGCAGCGGCACCGAUCUCCACACUCCAGUAGCGGACGUAUCCGCGGCCAACGCGCAAGCCAACACCGCGACGCUCGAGGAGUUCAAAAAGAUGUUCGCCACCUAUGAGAAAAGGUCGGAAGAACAGGAUAAGCUCGUGAAUACCUUGACCAAACAGGUUGAAACCUUAACGGCAAGAACCCAAGCUAUCCGUCCCCGCGGAACCACCAAAAUCCGCGGGAAGAGGCUCGACUUUGCCACCCCACUCGAUAGAACAGGAGUCGCGCGGGAAUGACCUUCCGGUCAAAACCCUAGCGAGAAAUCUCCCAUCGAAAAGGGGAACUCUGAAAGUCUUCCGCCCCCUGCAAAGGACUCGGAGGAUAACGAAGCCGAACACAUUGACCUGGAUCCUAGCGAUGUCUCCAACGACACCGACGAAUAUGUCGACAGACAUCCAAGAAGGACCAGGAGCCGAUCUGCUCGGGAAGGUUCCCCGUUCGAAAAACCAAAGACGGAAGAAGAAGAGAUCGCCUACUGGAACGAACAGGAGGAGCUGGCUGAAAGGCAAACCGAGCUUACUCGCAGUAAACGCCGACAGGCUCGGAAAUCUACUGACGAGACAUCGGACAUCCGCGAUCUUCGCGACUACAUCACCAAGACUGCGGCAGAAGUGAGAGCCGUAAAGUCUCAAAUCCAUCAUGCUACUAGUGCUGCCCCCGAGAUCGAUCAACUGCUAGAAGGAGCUCGAAAGACCCCCUUUACCAGUCGCAUUUCGGACAUGAGGGUGUCCGAUCCGGGAAAGAUCAAAGUACCGAAGUACGAUGGUACGGCCGAUCCAAAAGCGCACCUUCAGGCCUUCCACAUCGCGAUGGGAAGAGCAAGAUUGAAGGACGGCGAAAAAGUUGCCGGCUAUUGCCGCCUGUUCGUCGAAAAUCUUGAAGGAGCAGCGCUCGAAUGGUUCGCACGCCUUCGUCGCAACACCAUCGGGAGUUUUCGACAGCUCGCAUCGGAAUUCCUCAAACAGUACUCUGUAUUCAUAGACAGAGAAACCUCCGAUGUUGACCUCUGGAGUCUCUCCCAGAGGGAAGACGAACCCCUCCGCGAGUUUAUCAGUCGGUUCAAGCUGAUAAUGUCCAGGGUCAGCGGGAUAAGCGACAAAGUGGCCAUCGACGCGCUGAGAAAGACGCUCUGGUACAAGUCAAAAUUCAGAAAAUGGAUAACUCUCGACAAACCGCGAACGAUCCAGGACGCCCUCCACAAAGCAACGGACUACAUCAUAGUCGAGGAAGAAACUAAAGUCUUAUCGCAAAAACAUAAUCCGGCAAGACCAUCCUCGAAAGACGCAGAUCCGAAGGGGAAAAAGAAGAAAUCUCGUAACGACAAGUACGUCCAUCGCGAGGGGGAAGAUCUCCAAGGGGCGCAUAACUAUGCGAUCAAUUCGGAUCAAGGCCGGACCAUGGGCAACACAUGGACUCGCAAUCAAGGAUAUGACGAAAACACCUUUUGCGAGUUCCACCAAUCCCGAGGAUAAUCCACGACCAACUGCAAAGUCUUGGGAGCAAGACUGGCCGCGAAGCUACUCGCUGGAGAGCUUUCGGAAGUAACUAGCGUCAAGGAUCUCAUCCUCGAUUCUGAUCGGCCUCCAAAGACGGAUAGAAAUCCGCCCGCUGAAAAAUCCCCUCAACGAAACCAACCUGGGGAUAAACGCGGUAGGAGGCCGGAUGACAAAGGGAAUGAUAACAAUCGUCGCAGAGUCAAUAUGAUCAUCGGAGGAUCACAAUACUGCGGCGAUACCGUGUCGGCCAUCAAGGCUUACCAACGGAAGGCAGAGUCAAGUGCAAAUUGGCCUACAUGGUCUCCUCCUCGAGACGGCCAAAGUUGCUCGAUCACCUUAACAGAGGAAGAAGCCGGCGGUAUCGACCAACCUCACUGCAACCCGCUCGUCAUAGAUCUCGUCAUACGAGAUUUAGAAGUCGGAAGGGUACUCGUCG